UAACCCUCACAUCACCACAGAUCAGCCGAUCAGAUCGAUAGCCAUCGCCGACAUGGCCGGUCGUUUCGUGUUCCGUAAAUUAGCCUCUCAUUUGUCUUCCGAAUCGACCAAGGCUUUUCCCCGGCGCUGCUGAGGCGUCGAGGAACUUCAACACCUUGCCAACAACUGGGCUGUCCUCUGUUCAUCACACCAAUAAUCGCGUGAUCAACACCUAUGCUUGUGUUAGAGGCGCCAACACAAAUGCUUUAUUCAGUACAACUGCCAAGGUCGAUCGACUUGCCGCAACGUCAGACUUCACUCCGAGGCGACCGAUACUUGAUAAAGUACUCCAUGGCAUGAUCUUAUACUCAUAUACUAUGGGCCUUUGUGGAUUGUUUGGUCUAUUUCUGUGCAUUGAUAACAAGCGCGCCGCCCGCCGAAAUUCAGGCAGCACCCAAUGCUGUUCAAAGCACCAGUGUAGUUCCAAUCAUGAGGACCAAUGAGGAGCUCCAAGUACCCUGAGGCAGUGGUGGUUUGUUAUUUCAAGAUAACUGAAGCUUUAUUGUACUCAUGUCAACUACUCUCUCCGUCCAAAAAAAAAAGACAAACCCUGGCUAUGUAUCUGGACAUGCAUCAUACAUGAUGCAUAUAUAAGAUACAUACAACCAAUGAGUGUGAGCCUAUAUAUAUAAGUGAUGUUUACAUGUUGUGUAUUUUAUAAGUGAUGUUUACAUGUUGUGUAUUUUGUUCCAUGUCACUGGCCUACGAGUGUAUUGAGUGAUGUUUGCAUGUUGGAAAACUUUGUUCUGAUUGAC